rnacentral:rRNA from 1 species
AAACUUUCAACAACGGAUCUCUUGGUUCUCGCAUCGAUGAAGAACGCAGCGAAAUGCGAUACGUAAUACGGAAUCGCAGCUCUCGGAAUCAUCGAAU